rnacentral:rRNA from 1 species
GAUGAACGCUAGCUACAGGCUUAACACAUGCAAGUCGAGGGGCAGCAUUAAAGUUUGCUUGCAAACUUUAGAUGGCGACCGGCGCACGGGUGAGUAACACGUAUCCAACCUGCCGAUAACUCGGGGAUAGCCUUUCGAAAGAAAGAUUAAUACCCGAUGGUAUAUUUUCACCGCAUGGUGAAACUAUUAAAGAAUUUCGGUUAUCGAUGGGGAUGCGUUCCAUUAGGCAGUUGGUGAGGUAACGGCUCACCAAACCUUCGAUGGAUAGGGGUUCUGAGAGGAAGGUCCCCCACAUUGGAACUGAGACACGGUCCAA